AACGAACGCUGGCGGCAGGCCUAACACAUGCAAGUCGAGCGAGGACUUCGGUCCUAGCGGCGGACGGGUGAGUAACGCGUGGGAACGUGCCCUUUGCUUCGGAAUAGCCCUGGGAAACUGGGAGUAAUACCGGAUGAGCCCUUGGGGGGAAAGAUUUAUCGGCGAAGGAUCGGCCCGCGUUGGAUUAGGUAGUUGGUGGGGUAAUGGCCUACCAAGCCGACGAUCCAUAGCUGGUUUGAGAGGAUGAUCAGCCACACUGGGACUGAGACACGGCCCAGACUCCUACGGGAGGCAGCAGUGGGGAAUCUUAGACAAUGGGGGAAACCCUGAUCGAGCCAUGCCGCGUGAGCGAUGAAGGCCUUAGGGUUGUAAAGCUCUUUCAGCUGGGAAGAUAAUGACGGUACCAGCAGAAGAAGCCCCGGCUAACUCCGUG
rnacentral:rRNA from 1 species